AUGACGCUGGCGGCAUGCNUAACACAUGCAAGUCGAGCGGCAGCAUGAUGUGUAGCAAUACAUAUUGAUGGCGAGCGGCGGACGGGUGAGUAAUGCAUGGGAAUCUGCCCAGUAGCGGGGGACAACCCGGAGAAAUCCGGGCUAAUACCGCAUACGCCCUACGGGGGAAAGGGGGGGACCGAAAGGCCUCUCACUAUUGGAGGAACCCAUGUCCGAUUAGCUAGUUGGUGAGGUAACGGCUCACCAAGGCGACGAUCGGUAGCUGGUCUGAGAGGACGAUCAGCCACACCGGAACUGAGACACGGUCCGGACUCCUAUGUGAGGCAGCAGUGGGGAAUAUUGGACAAUGGGGGAAACCCUGAUCCAGCAAUGCCGCGUGGGUGAAGAAGGCCUGCGGGUUGUAAAGCCCUUUCGGUGAAGACAAAACGCGCCACAUUAAUACUGUGGUGUUUUGAUUUAUUCAUUAUUGAAGCAUCGAUUAACUUUUGUGCCCUCAGCCGCGGUAUAACUGCCUAAUUCUUUCCCUCA
rnacentral:rRNA from 1 species